rnacentral:rRNA from 1 species
UGCGUAGGCGGCUUGGUAAGUCAGAUGUGAAAUCCUGGGGCUCAACCUCGGAACUGCAUUUGAUACUGCCAGGCUAGAGUACUGGAGAGGAGACUGGAAUUUACGGUGUAGCAGUGAAAUGCGUAGAUAUCGUAAGGAAGGCCAGUGGCGAAGGCGAGUCUCUGGACAGUAACUGACGCUGAGGCACGAAGCGUAGGGAGCGAACG